rnacentral:rRNA from 1 species
GACGAACGCUGGCGGCGUGCUUAACACAUGCAAGUCGAACGGAAAGGCCCCGUUUUUGGUGCUCGAGCGGCGAACGGAUGAGUAACACGCACGUAACUAACCCUUCACUUCCGUAGAACUUCAUGAAACUGGGGCUAAUUCCUGCCAGGAAUCCUUUCUUCCUGCUGGGGGUUGGAUAGCUUCGGCGGUUUUGGGUGGACUCGCGGCCUAUCAGCUUGUUUGUUGGGUAGUUGCUUACCAAGGCUUUGUCGGGUAGGCGGCCGGGGGGGGCGACCGGCCACAUUGGGGCUGAGAUAAGGCCCCGACUCCUAAGGGAGGGAGGAGUGGGGAAUAUUGCACAAUGGGCGGAAGGCUGAUGCAGCAACGCCGCGUGCGGGAAGACGGGCUUCGGGUUGUAAAACGAUUUCAGCAGGGGCGAAGCUUGUGGUGACGGUACCUGCAGAAGAAGCACCGGCUAACUACGUG